GAUGAACACUAGCGGCAGGCCUAACACAUGCAAGUCGAGGGGUAGAGGAAGCUUGCUUCCUUGAGACCGGCGCACGGGUGCGUAACGCGUAUGCAAUCUACCCUGUACUGAGGGAUAGCCCAGAGAAAUUUGGAUUAAUACCUCAUAGCAUUAUGAAAUCGCAUGGUUUUAUAAUUAAAGUUCCAACGGUACAAGAUGAGCAUGCGUCCCAUUAGUUAGUUGGUAAGGUAACGGCUUACCAAGACAAUGAUGGGUAGGGGUCCUGAGAGGGAGAUCCCCCACACUGGUACUGAGACACGGACCAGACUCCUACGGGAGGCAGCAGUGAGGAAUAUUGGUCAAUGGACGCAAGUCUGAACCAGCCAUGCCGCGUGCAGGAUGAAGCAUCUAUGGUGUGUAAACUGCUUUUAUACGGGAAGAAACACUCCUACGUGUAGGAACUUGACGGUACCGUAAGAAUAAGGAUCGGCUAACUCCGUGCCAGCCGCCGCGGUAAAAC
rnacentral:rRNA from 1 species